AUGGUUCGAGAGGAGAUAGCAGGAUCCACUCAAACACUACAGUGGAAGUGUGUUGAAUCAAGAGUAGAUAGUAAGCGCCUUUAUUAUGGUCGUUUCAUUCUAUCCCCGCUUAGAAAAGGUCAAGCGGACACCGUCAGUAUUACCUUGCGAAGAGCUUUACUUGGAGAAAUAGAAGGAACAUGUAUCACACGUGCAAAAUUUGGGAGCGUGCCGUACGAAUAUUCUACAAUAGCAGGUAUUGAAGAAUCCGUAGAAGAAAUUUUACUAAAUUUGAAAGAAAUUGUAUUGAGAAGUAAUCUCUAUGGAGUUAGAGACGCAUCCAUUUGCGUCAAAGGUCCUAGAUACAUAACUGCUGCAAAACUACAAACAAAAAUAGUGAAAAUAAGCUCGUUAGGAGCCCAUCCAAAAUCAUUGUAG
rnacentral:rRNA from 1 species